rnacentral:rRNA from 1 species
GAUGAACGCUGGCGGCGUGCCUAAUACAUGCAAGUCGAGCGAACAGAUAAGGAGCUUGCUCCUUUGACGUUAGCGGCGGACGGGUGAGUAACACGUGGAUAACCUACCUAUAAGACUGGGAUAACUUCGGGAAACCGGAGCUAAUAUCGGAUAACAUAUUGAACCGCAUGGUUCAAUAGUGAAAGGCGGCUUUGCUGUCACUUAUAGAUGGAUCCGCGCCGUAUUAGCUAGUUGGUAAGGUAACGGCUUACCAAGGCAACGAUACGUAGCCGACCUGAGAGGGUGAUCGGCCACACUGGAACUGAGACACGGUCCAGACUCCUACGGGAGGCAGCAGUAGGGAAUCUUCCGCAAUGGGCGAAAGCCUGACGGAGCAACGCCGCGUGAGUGAUGAAGGUCUUCGGAUCGUAAAACUCUGUUAUCAGGGAAGAACAAAUGUGUAAGUAACUGUGCACAUCUUGACGGUACCUGAUCAGAAAGCCACGGCUAACUACGUG